UAGUAUUAGCCUUACAAUGCAGUUUUAAGUAGAUCUUUAUUUAGAUUAGAAUUUAGUCCAACAAAAGAACAAACUACCAAGCUACACAAGGUAAAAACAUUGUUACUUUUGUUUUAUUUAUUAUUCUUCACAAAAACUAAUAAUAAUAAUUUGUAUUAUUAUUAUUAUUAUCCAGCAUUAAAACCACUAUGUUAGAGGAUGUUAGCAGGCCAGUGAGGAUGAGUCAGCAGGAAAUGGGAUUUCUGUUUAGAAGGUUGCGUCAGCAUGAAGCAAAUCUGUCAAAGCAGCUGCAUCUCAUCGAUAGAAAUGCAAUCAACACAGGCUGUCUCAUACAGAGGCACCGCUGGCCUGUCACACAGCCAUCUGUUCAGCAAAGUCAACUUCAUCUCACCUCACACCUCUAUUUCACCAUCCCAUUACUGUUUCGUUUUUUUUGUCCUUUUCCUCUUUUUUUGCAUAGCUAGGAUAUAAAGAAUAAAUUCAUUAAGAAAUCCUCUGUUUUCAUUCUUUGCUGCACUUGGAUGCUGUCCGUUAGUGCGGCGGUGAUUCAGAAGAGCUGCAUCAGGGAAGGGAGGCUCAAAUGUCCCCAUUUUGAUCCAGCCCAGUUCCACUGUCAACACCUCAGAGUCCACGCAUUUCGCAGCCAGCCAGUCUUAAGUACAACACCCAGAAAUGAGCCACCUGCCUGGUCCUAGUCCCGGUCAUUACUGAGGGGGUCCUGCUGAUGGACUCUAAGGCCCCUGAUGUAGUGUGCUGACGGCAGGGCAUCACGGCACCAGGACUAAACUGUGCCACUGCGCCAUACCCGGACUCUGACCCACUGGAAUCGAGUGGCAGUUUGCCAAAAGACAAAGAAGCCUCUGCCAAUCUCAUCUGUGUCUCCAUUGGUGUGUAUGUCUGUCUGUUCGUAUAUAACUACACGUUAAUUUCAAAAUAAUAUAGAUAUGAGACUGGUGCCACUGGGCAGUGCUCAAGGUGGGAAGUGGGUUUUACUGUUGGGGUGUUUCUUUUUGGUUCUGGCUAUUUAUUUAUUUUUUAACUUUUUUUUUUUUGUGUGUUCAAAGCAUGGACGUGAGUGGAAUGAUCAUAUGAGUGCAUGCAAAGCAAUAACAGCAUGCCACUACUAUACAGCAUAGGAACGUGCAAGAACCCCUCCCACUUAUCUUCAUCCAAAU